GGCUAUCAUGCAAGUCGAGCGGAACCAGAAGAGCUUGCUCUUUUGGUUUAGCGGCGGACGGGUGAGUAACACGUGGGCAACCUGCCCUGCAGAUCGGGAUAACUCCGGGAAACCGGUGCUAAUACCGAAUAGUUUAUCGUUCCUCCUGGAACGGUACGGAAAGACGGUUUCGGCUGUCACUGCAGGAUGGGCCCGCGGCGCAUUAGCUAGUUGGUGGGGUAAUGGCCCACCAAGGCGACGAUGCGUAGCCGACCUGAGAGGGUGAUCGGCCACACUGGGACUGAGACACGGCCCAGACUCCUACGGGAGGCAGCAGUAGGGAAUCUUCCGCAAUGGACGCAAGUCUGACGGAGCAACGCCGCGUGAGUGACGAAGGUUUUCGGAUCGUAAAACUCUGUUGUGAGGGAAGAACAAGUACCAAUUACUACUGGUACCGUGACGGUCCUCACCAAAAAGCCCCGGCUAACUCGUGCCGCCCCGCGUUUAAUU
rnacentral:rRNA from 1 species